rnacentral:lncRNA from 1 species
GGAAUUAAACUCUAGUGUAUUUGGUAUAAUAUUAUUGUAGAAAAACAUAUAUAUCAAGUGUUACUAAAUGUUUCUUAGCAAAGUUUUCACGAAUUCUAUUUCUUGGCAAAGUUUUAAUAUUAAGUUUCUUCUUCAGAUAAAACUCAACGAGCUCUCCAUCUGUUGGUAAAAACCUAUAACCUAUUGGAAUUGAGUCAAAAAAC